UUGAACGCUGGCGGCAGGCCUAACACAUGCAAGUCGAACGGUAACAGGAGGCAGCUUGCUGCUUCGCUGACGAGUGGCGGACGGGUGAGUAAUGUCUGGGAAACUGCCUGAUGGAGGGGGAUAACUACUGGAAACGGUAGCUAAUACCGCAUAACGUCGCAAGACCAAAGAGGGGGACCUUAGGGCCUCUUGCCAUCGGAUGUGCCCAGAUGGGAUUAGCUAGUAGGUGGGGUAACGGCUCACCUAGGCGACGAUCCCUAGCUGGUCUGAGAGGAUGACCAGCCACACUGGAACUGAGACACGGUCCAGACUCCUACGGGAGGCAGCAGUGGGGAAUAUUGCACAAUGGGCGCAAGCCUGAUGCAGCCAUGCCGCGUGUAUGAAGAAGGCCUUCGGGUUGUAAAGUACUUUCAGCGGGGAGGAAGGGAGUAAAGUUAAUACCUUUGCUCAUUGACGUUACCCGCAGAAGAAGCACCGGCUAACUCCGUG
rnacentral:rRNA from 1 species